UGAAAAUUCGUAUGUAGAAAAACGCGGCGCGGCUGGACGCGAAGGAGAGUAAUUGCAUGUUUAAGGUGACGUUGUAGUUCAAGGCGGUUUAGUAGUUUUGUUGCGAACUUUUUCCAUUGUUCAAAUAAAAGAAACAUAAAAAUUUGAAAGCGAAAUAAAGCCAUA